AGCAGCCGCGGUAAUUCCAGCUCCAAUAGCGUAUAUUAAAGUUGUUGCAGUUAAAAAGCUCGUAGUUGAAUUUCGGGAUCAAUUUAUUGGUCGUGCUAUUGUACGUACUGGUAUUAUUGAUUCCUACCUUCUGACGAACCAUGAUGUCAUUAAUUUGGUGUCUUGGGGAAUCAGGACUGUUACUUUGAAAAAUUAGAGUGUUUAAAGCAGGCUCACGCUUGAAUACAUUAGCAUGGAAUAACGAAAUAGGACGUUUGAUUCUAUUUUGUUGGUUUCUAGGAUCGACGUAAUGAUUAAUAGGGAUAGUUGGGGGCAUUAGUAUUCAAUUGUCAGAGGUGAAAUUCUUGGAUUUAUUGAAGACUAACUACUGCGAAAGCAUUUGCCAAGGAUGUUUUCAUUAAUCAAGAACGAAAGUUAGGGGAUCGAAGACGAUCAGAUACCGUCGUAGUCUUAACCAUAAACUAUGCCGACUAGGGAUCGGAUGAUGUUAAUUUUUAAUGACU
rnacentral:rRNA from 1 species